rnacentral:tRNA from 22 species
GGCCCCGUCGUCUAGCGGCCCAGGACGCCGCCCUCUCAAGGCGGUAGCGCCGGUUCGAAUCCGGUCGGGGCUACAA